rnacentral:rRNA from 1 species
UAGCAUAUCAAUAAGCGGAGGAAAAGAAACCAACAGGGAUUGCCCUAGUAACGGCGAGUGAAGCGGCAACAGCUCAAAUUUGAAAUCUGGCUCUUUCAGAGUCCGAGUUGUAAUUUGCAGAGGGCGCUUUGGCGUUGGCAGCGGUCCAAGUUCUUUGGAACAGGACGUCACAGAGGGUGAGAAUCCCGUACGUGGUCGCUAGCCUUCGCCGUGUAAAGCCCCUUCGACGAGUCGAGUUGUUUGGGAAUGCAGCUCUAAAUGGGAGGUAAAUUUCUUCUAAAGCUAAAUACUGGCCAGAGACCGAUAGCGCACAAGUAGAGUGAUCGAAAGAUGAAAAGCACUUUGGAAAGAGAGUCAAAUAGCACGUGAAAUUGUUGAAAGGGAAGCGCUUGCAGCCAGACUUGCCUGUAGUUGCUUACCUAGACUUUUGUCUGGGGCACUCUUCUGCAGGCAGGCCAGCAUCAGUUUGGGCGGUUGGAUAAAGGUCUCUGUCACGUACCUCUCUUCGGGGAGGCCUUAUAGGGGAGACGUCAUACAACCAGCCUGGACUGAGGUCCGCGCAUUUGCUAGGAUGCUGGCGUAAUGGCUGUAAGCGGCCCGUCUUGAAACACGGACC